rnacentral:rRNA from 1 species
AUUGAACGCUGGCGGCAUGCCUUACACAUGCAAGUCGAACGGCAGCACGGGGCAACCUGGUGGCGAGUGGCGAACGGGUGAGUAAUGCAUCGGAACGUGCCAUUGAGUGGGGGAUAACGUAGCGAAAGUUGCGCUAAUACCGCAUAUUCUGUGAGCAGGAAAGCAGGGGACCGCAAGGCCUUGCGCUCUUUGAGCGGCCGAUGUCAGAUUAGCUAGUUGGUGAGGUAACGGCUUACCAAGGCGACGAUCUGUAGCGGGUCUGAGAGGAUGAUCCGCCACACUGGAACUGAGACACGGUCCAGACUCCUACGGGAGGCAGCAGUGGGGAAUUUUGGACAAUGGGCGCAAGCCUGAUCCAGCCAUUCCGCGUGCAGGAUGAAGGCCUUC